rnacentral:rRNA from 1 species
CGCUGGCGGCACGCUUAACACAUGCAAGUCGAACGAGAGAAGAGAAGCUUGCUUUUCUGAUCUAGUGGCGGACGGGUGAGUAACACGUGAGCAAUCUGCCUUUCAGAGGGGGAUACCGAUUGGAAACGAUCGUUAAUACCGCAUAACAUAAUUGAACCGCAUGAUUUGAUUAUCAAAGAUUUAUCGCUGAAAGAUGAGCUCGCGUCUGAUUAGCUAGUUGGUAAGGUAACGGCUUACCAAGGCGACGAUCAGUAGCCGGACUGAGAGGUUGAUCGGCCACAUUGGGACUGAGACACGGCCCAGACUCCUACGGGAGGCAGCAGUGGGGAAUAUUGCACAAUGGAGGAAACUCUGAUGCAGCGAUGCCGCGUGAGGGAAGAAGGUUUUAGGAUUGUAAACCUCUGUCUUCAGGGACGAAAAAAGACGGUACCUGAGGAGGAAGCUCCGGCUAACUACGUGCCAGCAGCCGCGGUAAUACGUAGGGAGCGAGCGUUGUCCGGAAUUACUGGGUGUAAAGGGAGCGUAGGCGGGAUCGCAAGUCAGAUGUGAAAACUAUGGGCUUAACCCAUAAACUGCAUUUGAAACUGUGGUUCUUGAGUGAAGUAGAGGUAAGCGGAAUUCCUAGUGUAGCGGUGAAAUGCGUAGAUAUUAGGAGGAACAUCAGUGGCGAAGGCGGCUUACUGGGCUUUAACUGACGCUGAGGCUCGAAAGCGUGGGGAGCAAACAGAAUUAGAUACCCUGGUAGUCCACGCCGUAAACGAUGAUUACUAGGUGUGGGGGGACUGACCCCUUCCGUGCCGCAGCAAACGCAAUAAGUAAUCCACCUGGGGAGUACGACCGCAAGGUUGAAACUCAAAGGAAUUGACGGGGGCCCGCACAAGCAGUGGAGUAUGUGGAUUAAUUCGAAGCAACGCGAAGAACCUUACCAGGUCUUGACAUCGUAUGCAUAGCUCAGAGAUGAGUGAAAUCUCUUCGGAGACAUAUAGACAGGUGGUGCAUGGUUGUCGUCAGCUCGUGUCGUGAGAUGUUGGGUUAAGUCCCGCAACGAGCGCAACCCUUACUGUUAGUUGCUACGCAAGAGCACUCUAGCAGGACUGCCGUUGACAAAACGGAGGAAGGUGGGGAUGACGUCAAAUCAUCAUGCCCCUUAUGACCUGGGCCUCACACGUACUACAAUGGCUGUCAACAGAGGGAAGCAAAGCCGCGAGGUGGAGCAAACCCCUAAAAGCAGUCUUAGUUCGGAUUGUAGGCUGCAACCCGCCUACAUGAAGUCGGAAUUGCUAGUAAUCGCAGAUCAGCAUGCUGCGGUGAAUACGUUCCCGGGCCUUGCACA